rnacentral:rRNA from 1 species
ACGAACGCUGGCGGCUGCUUAACACAUGCAAGUCGAACGGAGUGGCGAACGGGUGAGUAACACGUGGGUGAUCUGCCUAUGACAGUGGGAUAGCCUCGGGAAACCGGGAUUAAUACCGCAUAGUCAUAGAUGGGCUCGCUUCUGAUUAGCUAGUUGGUGAGAUAACAGCUCACCAAGGCGACGAUCAGUAGCCGGUCUGAGAGGAUGCACGGCCACAUUGGAACUGAGACACGGUCCAAAAUACUACGGGAGGCAGCAGUGGGGAAUAUUGCAAAAUGGGGGAAACCCGGAUGCAGCGACGCCGCGUGAACGAAGAAGGUAGUCGUAUCGUAAAGUUCUGUCCUAUGGGAAGCAGUACCAUAGAAGAAAGCUCCGGCUAAAUACGUGCCAGCAGCCGCGGUAAUAC